rnacentral:rRNA from 1 species
AUGCCCAGAAUAAAGGCGAGCGAAAGUGCCUUGCUCACAAGCGUGAAGAUUCUUAGUUUGAAUGUGUGUUUCGGGGUUCGCAAUGACGUUAAGAUGGUGCCCACCUUCCUCAAAUGCUUUCCCAACGCCGAGAGACUGCAUAUCAUGAGCGCAAAAUGUGAUCAGCCCACUGGUAACCACCUCACCGUCAAGUUCUGGGAGGAGUCUGAUCCCAAACAAAACCUCCUCUCGUGCAUCAACAUGCUGACUUUCCGGGAGUUCAAAGGGGACCGAGGUGAGGUUGGCUUCCUAGAGUUCGUCUUCCAGAGUGCACGGGCGCUGGACAAGGUAGCUAUUUUCAUGGCCAAUCCAAGCUUCACACGGUUCUCGACGGACGAGGCGCUUGUCAAGGCGCAAUACAGCGCUAGAAACCUGGCGAGUAAAUCUUGCGAAAAGUGCAUCAUCUGGAGUAGCCGUCCUGAAGGAGGCGAUGCUUGGAGCCUCAGAGUCGGGGCAGAUUUCUCCUUCGAGGACCCGUUCAUGGUGAUGCCGGCGAGGGAGGACAGCUAA